rnacentral:tRNA from 1 species
GGAGUUGUGGUUCAGUGGUAGAGCACUUAUCUGGCAUGUGUGAGGUUCUGAGUUCUAUCCUCAGCACCA